rnacentral:sRNA from 1 species
AUGUUGCGUUAGGGAUUGCAGUGGAAAUCCUUUUGUUUUUUCCUUAAAAAAAAAAACAAAAGAUUGCAACGUAAAGCCCGCCCGAAC